CAAAGUAAAGCUUAAAAGAAAGCAUUUCACUUACACUGAGAAGAAGUUGUGCGAUUCAAUAUAUUUUGA
rnacentral:tRNA from 1 species